rnacentral:snoRNA from 1 species
UGGCUGUAGCUACAUGAAUUCAAUUUUGAGAGGUUAACUGGCCGGUUGUCGUUCUGCUGUCGAUAUAUAUCUGCUUACCAAACUUCUUACAUUU